rnacentral:lncRNA from 1 species
AAUAAAUUAGGAAUUCGCCCAAAGAAUUACAAAACUCAGCUCUCUAGCCUACUUUGUCUGAUGUCUCUACACUAUACAACAUUUUGUGCACCUAGCACUGGCUAUUUAUAGCUUGGUGGUUAGUUGACAUCCUCAAUUGCCAAAUGGUUUGCACCACUAAGGUGCUGUCAACAAAGGGGUGGCAGUUCUCCCAAAACUGCCCACUACAGAUCAUGUCAACAAGUGCCACGCAUCCUUAGGUCCUAGCCAUGCAACCUGUUGUUUGACCAUGUUCCCACUAACUGGUUGUUGCCCUCAACUGCUGCUUGGUCAACUUACCCGCCACUGGUAACUGCCACAAUUGUUGUCUAACACAUUCCCACCAUCUGGUAACCGCCUACAACUUCAUUGCAUGAUCUUGCCAAUUGCUGCCCACUUCUUAACAUGCUACCCCCAUGCCUCAAGGACAGCGAUUUGGUCGUGCCUUCAAGUCAUGUUAUCUAUCAUUUCUAAUUAUAUCACUAAUAAAAAUAUUUUAUCUAUCAACACCCCCACCCACAUACACACACAUUAAGGAAUCCUUCAACCUCAGCAUCAACUUUCUGGAAACAUGUCAACCACAUUAACUUGUUGAUCUGUGAGCUGACUCAAAUUUUGGUGUACAAGGGCUUUUCAGUCAUCAAUUCCUCGACUUCUGUACACUUGAGCAAAAAAUAUGCAAGUCAGUUUAUAAAUCAGCUACUUAAAUUACACGUCAAAAAAAUUGCCACAUCACCGCUUUUUUAACUUCUGUUAACGAAAAAUCUUAAAUAUAUAUUAAAAAAAAAUUAGUUAAAGAAUGCAACUACAUUAAAACUUGGGUGAAGGACCCCAAAUUCAAAAAGAAAAUUAAUUCAAGGACAAACUGAUUAAUUUAUUUAAUACUAAGGACUUUUAAAUAAGCAGUCCAUCUGCACGGGAGCGCACACAUAAAACACAGAUCAAAAUUCUUCAUGAAAAAAAAUCAAAGAAUUGAAAGGUUAACAUCUAACAGAAUGUGGAACCGGGAAAAAAAAAUUAGACACUUGACACUCAGAAUAGGAUAUGGGUACUGGACACUUUAUUUUAAUGUAUAAAAUUGGCAAAAUUAAGGAGUACCCGUGUCGGAGACUUCAAAAUACUGUAUCCAACAACCGGACAUUCCAUCCCAGUCUGUGUAACAUAGAAGUUAAAUAGGUAAACUAACAAUUUUUCAUGAUCAAGAGCCGGGAAAUUCUGCCAUCUAAAAAGCACCUCCCUCUCUGAUUUGAUUAAAAAAAAUAGUAGUUGUUAGAAUAAGUGACUCAAGCUACAUAUGCAACUCUGUUAACUGGCAACAUAGCCAAGAUCAGUAAGUGAUCAUAGAAUUAAAUGUUUACUAAACAUCAUAUCUUUCAAAUCUACUUGAGAAACAAAAUGGUGUUGAAACCAUACAAUGAAUAUGUAACAAAUGCUAAGCAUUGCCUAUAGAAUUCAAUCUACAGCAAUAAACAGAUUUUCCGCACAUAAGCUGCCUGCAAGGCAUGCAGUUUAUAUAGAAGCAAGACUAAAGUAAAAGCAGCACUACAGUGAGACACAUAUAUAAGGAUAGUUAUAGGUGUCAUGUGGAGCUGUCGGUUCAAUUAUCCACAAUAGAUAGGAGGAAAUUACCUAUAGAUCAGCAAGGGACAGUGGAGAAGUGCCUCCGAAUGACUGCAAUUGUCAAGCUCCUGUCGAGCAGAAAAAAUAUUUUUAAAUUAAGAAAUCAUACGACAAAGAAUGUGGUAACUAAUUUUGAAAGAUUAAAACUAGCAUGUACAAACAUGUAUGCCACAAAAAUGAGUAUUUUGAGAUGGAUCAAUGGUAGUACAAGAAAUUACAAAUGCAACAAAUAAAUUCUUUAGAGUUUAGAAGUAUUGGGUAGUUUCUUUUCUUCUAUCACAUCAACAUCAUCUGAAAGCUGGUUUUUACCAAAUGUCACUUGAUGAUAAACAUACUGGUUCAGAGAAGUAGUUUGUAACGACACUUGCCAAUUCAAAGGACAAAUUAAAACUUGCAUUGAAUGCAGAAGAUAUAUAUUUAUAUAUAUAUAUAUAUGGAAAAAAUGUAUGUACACAGCUGUGUAUUACACAGUCGGCUAUGGCGAUCAUAGCCCAAAAAACCCGUCGCCAUAACCCUACUGUAUAAUACACAACUGUGUAUAUUCAUAUAGCCCUAUAUAUAUAUAUAUAUAUUUAUACACACAAACAUAUAUCUAUCUAUUAGAUUGUGGAUGCAGAAAUGAUUAUGUCUUUUGAUUGGACCAAACGUGAAUUACCAUGAAUCUCAAUGACCAAGUAUUCGGCAACUUACACUUAAUCUCAUCAAACACUUAUUUUCAUGAAUCGAGUAUUUCAAAUAUUAAUUUAGAUAAGUUGCAUCUUGCGAAUAACAAUCAGACCUUACUAGCAUACCCAGUAGGUUGAGGAGCAAAAGGAGGGAUCUCUCAAAAGGCUUACCUUGUGCCCCCCUGUCCUAACCUUGUUGUACUCGAGCGUAAUGCGCCUCUCCUUGCCAUAAAGAACAUAACCUCUCAUCAACAAAUAAGGAUCAAAGAUAAAAGCAAGAUAUUCUUCAAAAAAUACAUUAGCUAUAGAGAGCACAUGACAAGUUAAUAGACCUUGAACAACCCCAAUAAGUAAUGUAUGGAUACUCUUUUAGAACAUAUUAACAGCCAUCACCUUGGCCGUUUUACCUGCAAAACUCUCAAAGAUUUUUUUUAUAAAAAAAACAACAAAAAUAGAAGACAGAAUGUUCAAUAAGUUCAAUGCAAGAAGCAUAAGGCAGUUCCGUCAAUAAGAUUGGCUACCUAAAAAGAAACUGCAUUACAAAAACCAGUAUAGGAGACGAAAACACUAUAGUCAGCUGACCUGAGACAUGAAAGAACUGCAUCCUGUACAAUGUACUUGCAGUAAGCUAUUGCAAGAAAGUUUUUCAAGCAAAAAGGCAAGUCAAUCCAAAAUCUUAAUAAUCAUAUGACUUGAGAAGACUAGGCCAAGAAUCAGUUCAAUUUCAGUAAAAGAUGCUAUAAUUUAGCUUUUACCUACAGAAAUGUUGUACAGAGUAUCAAAAUAAGAGGAUUCGGCACAUAUAAAGAGUAUUUUCU